rnacentral:pre_miRNA from 1 species
ACCAUCAACAGGUGAAACUACCACGCAUGAUCUGAUCUUCUCUGAUCAAAUCUAUAGAGAGAUAAAGGGAAAGAGAAGUUAAGAUCAUGCUGGCAGCUUCAUCAGAUGAUAUGG